rnacentral:rRNA from 1 species
GAAUUCGAUCGUCGUCAGAACGAACGCUGGUGGCGUGUCUUAUACAUGCAAGUCGAGCGAGGCAGCAAUGCCGAGCGGCGAACGGGUGAGUAGCGCGUAAGCAAUCUGCCCCAUAUCAGGAAAUACCCGUGCCAACGCGCGGUUAAUGUCCAGGAGAGUGGCCAGCUGCAUGGCUGGUUGACUAGAGAUUUAUCGGUAUGGGAUGAGCUUGCGUCCGAUUAGCUAGUUGGCGGGCAACGGCCCACCAAGGCGACGAUCGGUAGCCGGCCUGAGAGGGUGAUCGGCCACAUUGGGACUGAGAUACGGCCCAGACUCCUACGGGAGGCAGCAGUAGGGAAUAUUGCACAAUGGGGGAAACCCUGAUGCAGCAACGCCAACGUGUGGGAAGAAGCAUUUCGGUGUGUAAACCACUGUCAUGAGGGAAUAAGGCCCGCCUUCGGACGGGAUUGAAUGUACCUUGAGAGGAAGCACCGGCAAACUUCGUGCCAGCCGCCGC